rnacentral:rRNA from 1 species
AAUCAACGCUGGCGGCGUGCCUCAGACAUGCAAGUCGAACGAUUAAAGCUCUCUUCGGAGAGUGUAUAGAGUGGCGCACGGGUGAGUAACACGUAAGUAAUCUACCUUUGAGUGGGGAAUAACAAUCGGAAACGAUUGCUAAUACCGCAUAAUGCAGCGGCAUCGCAAGAUGACAGUUGUUAAAGGAGCAAUCCGCUUAAAGAGGAGCUUGCGGCAGAUUAGCUAGUUGGUAAGGUAAUGGCUUACCAAGGCUACGAUCUGUAUCCGGUCUAAGAGGACGGUCGGGACACACUGACACUGAUUAACGGGUCAGACUCCUACGGGAGGCAGCAGUCGGGAAUUUUGGGUCAAUGGGCGAAAGCCUGACCCAGCAACGCCGCGUGAAGGAUGAAGUAUUUCGGUAUGUAAACUUCGAAAGAAUAGGAAGAAUAAAUGACGGUACUAUUUAUAAGGUCCGGCUAACUACGUGCCAGCCGCCGCGGUAAU